rfam:Schistosoma curassoni strain Dakar, Senegal genome assembly, scaffold: SCTD_scaffold0000335
AUCCAGCUGACUAGUUCGGAAUAGAACGAAACGCGCGUCCUGAAU